GAACGGCAGCACGGGUGCUUGCACCUGGUGGCGAGUGGCGAACGGGUGAGUAAUACAUCGGAACAUGUCCUGUAGUGGGGGAUAGCCCGGCGAAAGCCGGAUUAAUACCGCAUACGAUCUACGGAUGAAAGCGGGGGAUCUUCGGACCUCGCGCUAUAGGGUUGGCCGAUGGCUGAUUAGCUAGUUGGUGGGGUAAAGGCCUACCAAGGCGACGAUCAGUAGCUGGUCUGAGAGGACGACCAGCCACACUGGGACUGAGACACGGCCCAGACUCCUACGGGAGGCAGCAGUGGGGAAUUUUGCGCAAUGGGGGAAACCCUGACGCAGCAACGCCGCGUGGAGGAUGAAGUCCUUCGGGACGUAAACUCCUUUCGAUCGGGACGAUUAUGACGGUACCGGAAGAAGAAGCCCCGGCUAACUUCGUG
rnacentral:rRNA from 1 species